rnacentral:rRNA from 1 species
UCUUGCGCAAUGGCCGAAAGGCUGACGCAGCGACGCCGCGUGCGGGAUGACGCUUUUCGGAGUGUAAACCGCUGUCAGGUGGGAAGAAGGUCCCGGGGAGGAAAUGUCCUGGUGAUGACGGUACCACCAGAGGAAGCACCGGCUAACUUCGUGCCAGCAGCCGCGGUAAUACGAAGGGUGCGAGCGUUGUUCGGAAUUAUUGGGCGUAAAGCGCACGUAGGCGGCCUUGUAAGUAUCACUGUGAAAGCCCGGGGCUCAACCCCGGGAGGCCAGGGGAUACUGCGAGGCUGGAGACAAGCAGAGGUUGGUAGAAUUCCGGGUGUAGCGGUGGAAUGCGUAGAGAUCCGGAGGAAUACCAGAGGCGAAGGCGGCCAACUGGGCUUGUUCUGACGCUGAGGUGCGAAAGCGUGGGGAGCAAACAGG